rnacentral:rRNA from 1 species
UACGUAGGGUGCGAGCGUUGUCCGGAAUUAUUGGGCGUAAAGGGCUCGUAGGCGGUUCUCUAAGUUUGGUGUGAAAUCUCCCGGCUCAACCGGGAGGGUGCGCCGAAAACUGGAGGGCUAGAGUGCGGGAAGGGAGAGUAGAAUUCCUGGUGUAGCGGUGAAAUGCGCAGAUAUCGGGAGGAACACCAAUGGCGAAGGCAGCUCGCUGGGACGUGACUGACGCUGAGACGCGAAAGCGUGGGGAGCAAACAGG